UCUCUUAAUUAGAGGCUGGUAUGAAUGGUGAGACGAGAAAAAAGCUGUCUCUAGAAUAAUUAUUGAAUUUCAUUUUUAAGUGAAAAAGCUUAAAUGUAUUUGGGGGACGAUCAGACCCUUUGGAGCUUUAUUUCAGCUAUAUUUUAGGUUAAAAUUUGAUAACAAAAGUUUAGCUGAAAUUUUGUUGGGGCGACAGGAAGUUUAAAAGUACCACUUUCUCUAAAAAACAUAUAUUUAUGGAAAAUUGAUCCCCAUUGAGGGAUUAAAAGACUAAGUUACCCUAGGGAUAACAGCGUAAUCUUUUUGGAGAGUUCAUAUCGAUAAAAAGGUUUGCGACCUCGAUGUUGGAUUAAGAAAUUAGCAAGGUGCAGAAGUUUUGCUGGAAAGUCUGUUCGACUUUUAAUUUCUUACAUGAUCU
rnacentral:rRNA from 1 species